rnacentral:lncRNA from 1 species
CUCAGCAGAUUUGGAUAUGUUUCCCAGCAGGGUUGCUGUGAUUCCUGCGCAGCUCACGAGAUUCUUUGUGCCAAGGACUCAACAUUCCCUUUCUCCAGGGUGAGGCAAGAGAGAAUUCCUGCCGAGAGAUUGUUGACAGCCAUGCAGUCUCAAUGGGCAGAGGCGAAAAGCAUUUGAACCAUCCACACUUGGAAAGGCUCUGGACUGUUCUCCAACCUCUUGCCAAGCCUGCAAUCGUGUUUUGUCUGUAUAAAAGUGUGUGAGGCCAUUGGAUUCUCAGAAAAAUACUGACAAAAUCUGUGGUGGUUGAAUUUUAGGAUCCCAGAUUAUAGGCCUGUGCAGUCCAAAGAAGUGGAGCUGUUUUUCAUCUUGGAACUGAAUUUGAGACUACGAACUAAACGUUAUUCUUACAGCAGAGGAUGACAACAUAGCCAGUCUAAUCCUGCUUUACAUGGGCAUCCAAGCAUGGAACUGAAACAUGGAUUCUGUCCCAGUGGGUGACACAUACUCAGACAAUCAGAGGGACACAACAGCCUGGGCACUAGUCAUAGCUAUUGGAGCAGGAAAGAGGGAGUUUUGCAUACAAUAGUCACAGAAGACAGCCUUAAUGGAGUCCUGCCUUAAAAACCUGCUUCCAGUGGUCCCUUCCCAUCACCACCACAGUGAUGGCACAUGUGCAGGUGGCAGUAAAUACCAAAAAUCAUACAGAAGUCAACAUUUGGCAGCUGCCUGGUGAAACCAAGGUCUUCAGGAUGGCCUGGAGAGUUAGGGUAGGAGACCACCUAUGUGUGUGUGCUACACAAUCAGGUAAUGGGACUGUUGGCUGCAUCACUAGCAGUGUAAUCCUGUUCCAUCAUCUCCAAAUACUGCAGGGGGAACACCAAAGGAGUAUGGGAAGGAUCCCAGUUUAAUCCAUUGAUGAAAGUAAGGAGGAAUAACAAGCAAUCUGCCUGUGGCAGUCCCUGCUUAAUUAGACUGCAGAUUUCUAUCUAGAUGGGUGGUAAACCUGCUAUGGCUGAGGGACAUAUUCACCCUGUUUAAAGUGCUUUCCUGGGCUUGGCUCUGAAUAGAGGAGCCAGGAACUCUGGCUUCAGACCAGUGUAAAUGCAAUAGAGACAAAAGGAAGAAACAAAACGUGUAGGAAAUCACGUAAAGCAGAGAUAAAGGACUAACACGUAGGUUUUAGGCAGAUCUUUGGAAGUUAUAAAACUACGUGAAUCUUAGGCGUGUGCCACAAUAUUGCUGAGAAAGCUGCACUUCAAUUAGCUCGAUCCUGAGCCCGUGAAAGCUGGCCCAGCUCCACCAGCCUCAAAGAAAAAUGGGGAAAAGUUUCUUUUCACGUAAGAAGUGGAAAGAUUGAAGUGUUUAACAAAGGGGCCUAGAAAGCUCCAAGCACUGGACAGUCUCCACCUGGUUGCAUUAAACCACUCGCUACAUUUUUCAAAAUCCACCCGUGCUUUAAUCUCUGCUCCAUUUCACAUUUCCUUGUGAUGUCGUCCAAAUAAAUGCACUCAUUGGCAAUAAGCUGAACAGUCACCACAAAGCCUAACAGGACCUUGAUGUGGCUUUUAAAAAACC